AACGGCCGCGGUACCCUAACCGUGCGAAGGUAGCAUAAUCACUUGUUCUUUAAAUGAGGACUUGUAUCAACGGCAUCACGAGGGUUAAACUGUCUCCUUUUUCCUGUCAGUGAAACUAAUCUCCCCGUGAAGAAGCGGGGAUAAUUCUAUAAGACGAGAAGACCCCAUGGAGCUUUAAACCCAACCACACUCCUCUUUAACUUUACCUCUAACCUCCUAGGAUUUUGUGUGUUCUGGUUUUAGGUUGGGGUGACCGCGGAGCAUAAAUUAGCCUCCACAAUGAAUAGAUUUCCUCUUUAUCCAAGACCAACAUUUCUAAGAAUUAGCACUCUAACAUAAAAUGAUCCGAUAUUCGAUCAACGAACCAAGUUACCCUGGGGAUAACAGCGCAAUCCACUUCAAGAGCCCCUAUCGACAGGUGGGUUUACGACCUCGAUGUUGGAUCAGGGUAUCCUAGUGGUGCAGCAGCUACUAAAGGUUCGUUUGUUCAACGAUUAAAACCCU
rnacentral:rRNA from 1 species